UAAACGUCGUUUCCUUCCCUCGACCCACGCCUCCUCCUCUCUCGAUUUCCUCCGACCCGUGCCCUAACCUUCUAGCGCCGGCGGUUUCCUUCUCCUCUGUCCCUACCCAAGCGCCGGCGAGCACGAGCCACCGCCGGCCGAGCCGCUUCUCUGCCCUAGCGCUGUCCUCCUCCCUCCUGUCUUUGCCCGGCAACGCCACCGUGCCCUAGUCUCCCGCGACACUAAAACCUUUCCUCUUUCUCUUCUGCCCGGCGCUGUCGGAGCCCUAGCCAUCUUUCCGAUUGCCUUCAGCCACUUUCUUUGGAUCGUCUCCCUUGCGUGAGGGAUCUUCGGCCGGAAGAGGGAAAAACCCAAGUCGCUCUUCUACCCGUGCCCUAUUUCUUCUCUGCAUUGCCUCCUCCUCUCGGUGUCUGUCCAGCCACCGCAGCCAAUUGCCGCUCAAUUUCAAGACACUGACACCCCACUCCUGUGCGUUGCUGCAUCUCCUCCUUCAUGAUCCAUCGACGCCCGAUUUCGCCGCACCUUUGCUCGGCAUCGCCGCACGAUCAGGUUGAUGCCACGCUAUUUCCACUCUCCUCUACCUUGGGAUGGCACCGUAGCAAUAUUUGGAUUUCCUCAUAGAGGAAGUUACAGAUCUGGCUAAGAGGAAUGUUUUGAUUUGGAGGGUUGUACAGUCACCUAGUUUCGACCAUCUUGCUCCUAUAAUGAACAUCCCUGGCCGUGAGUCGAUGGAGGAGCAAUUUGAAAUGAUGACUUUGAUGCAAGACGAGUAUCUCGACGUCGUAUUCGGACCAGAUUGAACUUUU